AGAAAGCGCUCGGAACCUGUCUGAACUCAAACACCCUGCUCUCUCCCAGCGGAGUAUGAAAAAGCCUUUCUUUCCUGCCCGCCCUCGGGGCUACGGGGCAAUUACAAGUCCCGACACCCUGCUCCUGGUCUGGGGCGAGGAGCGAUCCCGGAGGACAGCGACGCUCACCUGGGAAGAAGGCGGAUCUAGGCCGAGCGGGGCCGUGGUCCCGUCCUCGCUUUUCCCUGGGCUCAAGAAUGCCUGGAGGAGAGGCCUGGGGGCCGCGGACAGAGAAAAAGAGAAAACAACAACAAAAAUGAAGCAAGAGUAAACUGCCAACUCCAACUGCCUUUCUGGAAGGCCUAAUUUGAAGAUGUCUGAAAUUCUGUAUCACUGGCUCCCAGACAUAUCAUGUUUAUUUGUACAUCACACCUUUGCCCACCUCUGCUCAGUGGACCUCCAGCCUAAAAUGCCUCCCUUGUUCCUCUGUCUCACUUCAGCUGUUAUUGAAGUCUCCUGGUACAAUGUGACAUUUCCAGCGUCUUGUUUUCCAAUCAGAUCAGUGGCUCUCAGUGGACCAACUGAUAAGGAACAUUUGGAAAAUGUUACGAUGAUUGAGGGCUGUACUGGUAUUUGGUGGGCAGGGAAUGACAAUGUCCUGUGAUGUAUCCAUCAUAAUGGAAAAUUAUCUGAUGUCUUGGGCAAAUAACAGCAGUCCUGCCAGACAAAAUGAAGGUGAAAAAUUCAUUUAUAAUUGCCUAAGUUCAGAGCUUCUCUCUGUUUUACAUACAAGUACAAGAAAUGUUUGGCACAGUUUUAAUGUAUACUGAAUUAUAGGAAUCCAAUUACAAUAUAUUUUGCUUAACAUAGACAUCUGCUAAGAAUUAUUCAUCAUUUUGUAGAUCACAGCACUACGUAACUGCUUCAGAGAUAUAAUAAAACUCAUCAGUCUUCCUUAGCAUCUGUAGGUCAGUCAUCUCACAUCUCACAGCUUCUUCUGCCUUCUGGUAUAUUUGUGUAUGAAUGUUUAUAUACUACAACAAAUAGCAUUUUUAUAAAUUCCUUUUAUUUACUUUAUAAUCAGGACAUAACAUUACUUUUAAAAGUUAUAUGUAGGUUAAAUUACAUUAUUAAUAAAUUUCAUUGUUUUAGUGUAGCAAGACAAUGUUACAAAAUAUUUCUUUAAAACCAAGAAGGGGCAUUGAGCCUGGGAGUUGAGAACUAUAGAACCAUAUUGUAUGCAUUCAUGGGAGAAAACGACUGGAAAGGGGACAAGGUGAAGUGGAAAACUAGAAUGUAUUAAGAAUUUCCUUUAAUCCAUCUUGAAUUGAUUUUUGUAUAAGGUGUAAGGAAGGGAUCCAGUUUCAGCUUUCUACAUAUGGC
rnacentral:lncRNA from 1 species